AGGCAGAGAUGACAUUUACAUCAGUGUUGUGACAACAGUCGAACAAGAUGAGAAGUUUUGUGAUAUCCCUGGUUACCGUGCUUCUUGCGUGUACAUACGCUACCCCACCCCCUUUGUGGGGUCCGUUUGAACCUUUCCCCAGACCAUUACCACCAUUACCACCACCAUUUAAAAACCCAUUACUCCCUCCUUGUUUAAUGAUGUCCAGGUGUGUCUAUGUGAUUUCUAUUGACUCUGAGGGAGCAACUAGCUACAGCAAUGUAGAAGCUCAUUCCGGCAGUGUCGCUUCUGGAGGCGUGAAAGGCUCAACCUUCGGAAACGGCGCAUUGAGUGCAGCUAAUAUAAGACCGUGUGGACCCUUGAAAGCGCUGUUUCAUGGUUGCUGAACAUGUCAGAAAGGACUCUAUAUUCAAUUGAAGAAAAAAAGUACUUAAUAAAUACAGAGAUUUAUUUAUUAUUAAUAUGAUUCAACAUCAAUCAUCCUCAUCCUCCGAGCCUUUUUCCCAACUAUGCUUUACAGUUUUACCAAUACCCUGUGGUUAGGCUGGUGUCAGACUUACUGGCUACUGACUACCCGUAACGACUGCCAAGGAUGUUCAAUGACAGCCGGGAGCUACAGUUUAACGUGCCAUCCGAAACACAGUCAUUGGUGUCUAAGAUAUUCUUAGAAAGUACAUACUAACUUAGAAAAGUUGGUCCAUGCCUGACCUGGAAUCGAACCCGCGCCCUCAUACUCGAGAGGUUGGUUCUUUGCCCACUAGGCCACCACGACUAUCAAUUCAACACCAAUAUAAGUAAAAAAAUAUUCUGGAAGAUAGUAUUAAUUAAUGAUGUAAACAAGACUAUAAAAUAAAUGAUAACACCAGUUUUUA